AUUGAUUUGAAUUUCAUAUUUUGUGAUUGAAUAUACCAUUGGGGUUUAGGUUGCAAUGUGAUUUUGAUUUGCAAUUUUUUUUCCCUAUUGGGUCUUGUGGUUAGUGCUUUGAUAUGGAUGUUUGGCUGUGGGAUUGGGGUUCAAAAAAAAUUGGGGUUUUUGUUUUUGGUUGAUUGUGAAUCCAUAAGUAUUUUUUGAUUUGGGAUUUUCAGAGUUGGGUAUGUAUAUUGCUUGUGCUCAUUUGGCUAUAGGUUUGGGUUUGUGCUUGUGUUUGAAAGGUGGGUUUUAUGUUGACCCAGAGGCGAAGCUCCUGUUUAUCAUUCGCAUUCGUGGUAUCAAUGCCAUGCACCUAAAGACUAGAAAGAUCUUGCAGCUCUUGCGUUUGAGACAGGUAUUACAUGAAACUCACCCCUUAUGGUACUAUAAAAUGGCAUCUGGUUAUUGUAGUUUUUAUUUAUGUUUUUGUGUUGGUCAUGACGGUAAAUAUAUCCUUUUGAAGGCUAAGGCAGGUUCAGACUAUUUGCUUAUUGUACUGGGUAGUUUUCGUAAAAGUACUCGUUUUUAAAGCUAUUUAAGUUUAAGCUCCUUGGGUCAUUGUCUAGAAAUCUUUGAGGCAAAGCUCAAACAUCUAGUGUCAAGGUGUUUGGGUGUAAGCACCUUUUUUAUUUUGACCUUUUAGAACUUUAUAUAAGCAUUAAGUACACAUUAUUUCUAGUAGGUUUACUGCUGAAUAGUUUGAAACUUGAAGCCCUUUGUUGUGAGUGUUAUGAAAAGCUAAUCUAAAACUAUGCCUGAUUCUUUUAUUCUGAAUGCUGGGACAUGCCUGAUUCUUUUAUUCUUUUAAUCUGAAACCAUGAUAAGCUAACUGACACUGAAUGCUGAAACUUGGCCCACGUAUUUGGUCAUCAAAGGUAAGUUUCAAUUGCAUUGAAUUCAGCCCAAUAUUUUAAAGAAAAUUAAACAGAGGCAUCAUUCGUGGCCGCCACCUCGCCUCCAUUAAUGACCAGUCGCCUCUUGCUUUCUCCGCUGGAAACGUCACUCUCCUCAGUAAUUCUUUGGGAUUGAGAUAUUUUUGGUUCCCGAUAAGAGAAAGAGUUGUUUUUUAGUGGCCAGUUGUAUUAUUACACAGGCAGUGAUUUGUUCGGGAUACCAUGUGAUUGUCAGAAAAAUGGUUGCAUAAAGGCCUUAUAGUCAUCAUCUGGAGCGGGGUAUGUUGAGUUAAACACAAAUUCUUCAUAGCAGGGAUGGGUUCUGGACAUUGGUUUAAGACGAUAAUUGGCUCAAAGAAAGGGAAGCGUGGCAGUUCAAAACAAGUAAAGGUCUACUUGCUUCUUUUGUAACUUGGAUCAGCCAAAUGCCACAGUUCGUUCUAGAGUCAGAAAUCCCAAAGGUAUUGACACAAAACCCAAUCUUUAUCUUCUUUUUACAAGAAUGCUUGAUUUUUUUUUUUUUUUUUAAUAAAAAUUUUAUUUACCACUUUAUUGGCUUACACUUUCACAACUUAAAAAAAUUGUGUAAAGAAAAACUAUGUUGGUUUUAUAGUGAGAAAAAGUGAUAAGAAUAAUUGCUGCACUUUUUUUUUCUCGUGUGUUUGAAUCUCAUUGGUUUGUGAGUAGUGGGAAAAAAAAGUAGAUCAAUUUGGAAGUUACAACAAUCUGUAAAUAAUUGCCAGAAAGAAUAAGAUAAAAAUUAUGAUCAUAGACUAACUUAGAAAUAAUGUGCAAAACUCUCAAUUUUUGUGAGUUCCACUUAUUAAAAUAAGAAAUAAAAACAUUUUGAGUAGAUAAUGUGAAAUGCAAUUUGCAUGUUAUUGCAAACAAAUCAUUAUAGAUAAGCAGUUAACCAUACAUGAAGGACCAUAUGUAUCAAAUUUAUUUAUUUAUUUUUUGCUGUAUUAGGUUGCAUUUUGUUCAUUGUUGUGCUCCUAAUGUCUUAGUGGAGCUAAAA